rnacentral:rRNA from 1 species
AGAGUUUGAUCAUGGCUCAGGACGAACGCUGGCGGCGUGCUUAACACAUGCAAGUCGAGCGGAGCUAUUAGCAAUAGUAGCUUAGCGGCGGACGGGUGAGUAACGCGUGGGCAACCUGCCUCAAUCAGGGGGAUAACACAGGGAAACUUGUGCUAAUACCGCAUAACAUCCUUAGAAGACAUCUUCUGGGGAUCAAAGGA